CCUACGGGAGGUAGCAGUGAGGAAUAUUGGUCAAUGGGCGUAAGCCUGAACCAGCCAAGUCGCGUGAGGGAUGAAGGUUCUAUGGAUCGUAAACCUCUUUUAUAAGGGAAUAAAGUGUGGGACGUGUCCUGUUUUGUAUGUACCUUAUGAAUAAGGAUCGGCUAACUCCGUGCCAGCAGCCGCGGUAAUACGGAGGAUCCGAGCGUUAUCCGGAUUUAUUGGGUUUAAAGGGUGCGUAGGCGGCCGUUUAAGUCAGCGGUGAAAGUCUGUGGCUCAACCAUAGAAUUGCCGUUGAAACUGGGAGGCUUGAGUACGUUUGAGGCAGGCGGAAUGCGUGGUGUAGCGGUGAAAUGCUUAGAUAUCACGCAGAACCCCGAUUGCGAAGGCAGCCUGCCAAGCCAUGACUGACGCUGAUGCACGAAAGCGUGGGGAUCAAACAGGAUUAGAUACCCCAGUAGUC
rnacentral:rRNA from 1 species